GCGCAGCAGUCGAGAAACCUCCGCAAUGCUCGAAAGAGCGACGGGGGGACUCCAAGUGCCUACGCUUUGCGUAGGCUUUUCCCAAGCCUAAAAAGCUUGGGGAAUAAGGGCUGGGUAAGACGGGUGCCAGCCGCCGCGGUAAUACCCGCAGCCCGAGUGGUGGCCGCUUUUAUUGGGCCUAAAGCGUCCGUAGCCGGUCUGGUAAAUGCCUGGGUAAAUCGUCUGGCUCAACCAGACGAAUUCCGGGUAGACUGCCAGACUAGGGACCGGAGGAAGGAGAGGGUACUCCGGGGGUAGGGGUGAAAUCAGCAAGGUGAGUUGUUGAUGUAACUUGCCUUGCAAGUCACAAUCCUGUAAUCCUCGGAGGACCACCGGUGGCGAAGGCUCUCUCCUAGGACGGGUCCGACGGUGAGGGACGAAAGCCAGGGGAGCAAACCGGAUUAGAUACCCGUGUAGU
rnacentral:rRNA from 1 species